UGGCACCCGUUUGGGGCUCCUGGUAUGAAGGGCUCAAUGAGGGAGCCGUCCUGAGACACGUGCGUAAAAGUGAAACUACAAGUUUUGUGACCAACGCUACGCGGGAGCCUUCCGUGCCACUAGAGUCAUGGUAAGUGGAUGGCUAUCCUUUCCCUUUUUUUGUGGCAUGGGUCAGGCAUUAAGUAAUCAUAAGUGCUUUGUGUCAAGUUUAAGUAAAGCUUUAAAGACAAGAGGGAUAAAGGCUAAAGAAAAAGAUUUAUUGCAGUACUUUCAAUUUAUUCCUAAGGUUUGCCCUU
rfam:Cavia porcellus supercont2_32 genomic scaffold, whole genome shotgun sequence.